UCCUACGGGAGGCAGCAGUGGGGAAUAUUGGACAAUGGGCGAAAGCCUGAUCCAGCCAUGCCGCGUGUGUGAAGAAGGCCUUUUGGUUGUAAAGCACUUUAAGUGGGGAGGAAAAGCUUGUGGUUAAUACCCAUUAGCCCUGACGUUACCCACAGAAUAAGCACCGGCUAACUCUGUGCCAGCAGCCGCGGUAAUACAGAGGGUGCAAGCGUUAAUCGGAAUUACUGGGCGUAAAGCGAGCGUAGGUGGUUACUUAAGUCAGAUGUGAAAGCCCCGGGCUUAACCUGGGAAUUGCAUCUGAUACUGGGUGACUAGAGUAGGUGAGAGGGAAGUAGAAUUCCAGGUGUAGCGGUGAAAUGCGUAGAGAUCUGGAGGAAUACCGAUGGCGAAGGCAGCUUCCCGGCAUCAUACUGACACUGAGGUUCGAAAGCGUGGGUAGCAAACAGGAUUAGAUACCCUGGUAGUCC
rnacentral:rRNA from 1 species